AGAAACUUAAGUUAUAUUAAACUAGGGACCUUCAAAGCCCCAAAUAAAGCUACUACUUUAGUUUCUG
rnacentral:tRNA from 1 species